rnacentral:rRNA from 1 species
CCCUUAGAUGUUCUGGGCUGCACGCGUGUUACAAUCGGGAGUAUAACAAGAUUGCAAAUCCUAGUGGAUGAGUGGUUCUUCGAAAUUUUCUGAAGACUGGGAUAGUUGAUUGAAAUUAUUCAACUCGAACGAGGAAUUCCUUGUAAUUGUAAUUCAUUAUAUUGUAAUGAAUACGUCCCUGCCCUUUGUACACACCGCCCGUCGCUCCUACCGAUUGAACGAUCCGGUGAAUUAUUUGGAGUAGCUCUGGAAGUUGCAGAACUUCCUAUGUCACGAAAUUUUGUAAACCUUAUCGUUUAGAGGAAGGAAAAGUCGUAACA